GCAGGAGUGGCGGAAUUGGCAGACGCGCAGGACUUAGGAUCCUGUACCGCAAGGUGUAGGGGUUCAACUCCCCUCUCCUGCA
rnacentral:tRNA from 1 species